CAGUAGCCGCGGUAAUACGUAGGGUGCAAGCGUUAAUCGGAGUUACUGGGCGUAAAGCGUGCGCAGGCGGUUUGUUAAGACAGAUGUGAAAUCCCCGAGCUUAACUUGGGAACUGCAUUUGAAACUGGCAAGCUAGAGUCUUGUAGAGGGGGGUAGAAUUCCAGGUGUAGCGGUGAAAUGCGUAGAGAUCUGGAGGAAUACCGGUGGCGAAGGCGGCCCCCUGGACAAAGACUGACGCUCAGGUGCGAAGGCGUGGGGAGCAAACAGGAUUAGAUACCCGAGUAGUCCCUGUCUCUUAUAA
rnacentral:rRNA from 1 species